AUUAAUAUGAAAGUUUAUCACUAUCAAGAAGUAAUGGAGGUGGAAGAUGGUCAUGAAUUUCAUAGUGAGUUGCAUUAUUGAAACUUGAAAGUAAAAGAAAAUUCAACACCAUAUGCUGAGGACUGAUGUUAUUUCCUAAAAUGAAGUGUCCAUAGUAUUUGACAGGUUAAUUAAGUUAUUAUUCAUUAUCCUACAAUUAAACUUAGAGUUUUUUGCAUUGUAUGCCAUAUCUUCUGACUAAAGGUUUUAUUGGAUAUUUUGUAACUUCAUACAACAGUACUAAAGUGAGACAUGCUCUAACCAAAGGAUGGCAUAGCGUCCACAAAAUCCUAUGCUUGCAAGUUGGACAAAACACCAUACAAUUGUCUUUAGAACACCAAAGCCAAGUGAAGACAUAAUUUGUUUCUUCUUUCAAUAUUUUACAAAAUUGUUUUUCUUCUUUUUUAUAGUAUGUACAAACAAAUGAAUCAUAAA
rnacentral:lncRNA from 1 species